rnacentral:lncRNA from 1 species
UCUCCCGGCCCCAGGGGAAGGCUGAGAGAACGGUCACGUGGCGUGAACAGCCUGUGUGCCUGGCAGUCCCCCUGGCUCCCUGCUGGGACCAGGAUUCCUAGUCUUUCAGGCGGCUGCCCCAUUUUUUCUUUUCCCUUUUGUCUUUGUUGUUGAUGUCGCUGUGCGUCCACAACCCCGGGAUUCCCUCAACGUCAAACUCCAAAAUCCAGUUUCUUAGAUUUCAAUGCUUUUAAGUAGGACUUCUGGUGGAGGACCAUACCCAACCCAAUGAGAGAUGCAGAGUUCUCAGAUGCCACUCUGAAAUGCAGUACUGCCCCCUGCUGGCUCCCCUGCGGUAUAGCUCAUCAAAAACCAGGAGGGCUCUCGGGUCCUUUUCCCACGGCUGGGAAAAACUGAGGCGUCGAUUCUCAGCGCGAGGUGGGAGACAAAGCUGACACGGGAUGAUUUUCCAACCGCCACGCUCCCUCAGAAAACACCGCUUACUGUCUUUGGCUUUGGAUUUAAACAGAGGCCUUCAAAACCUUCCAGAGUGAAGUGGAGAAAAAAAGAACAUGUUGGGGAACCUUUCUCAAAGCGUUCUGGGAAACAUGAAACACGGCUCUGACUUCGGAGGCUGGUAAAUGCCUUCUCCAAUGUGCUCAUUCCUGCAGCCAGGAGCUUCCCGCCUCCAUAGUGCCCGACUGAGGACCCAUCUCUACUUUGACAGAAGCAACUGGGAGCAAGAAAAUUUGCCGAGGACUAAACCGUAAGAUGUGUACACUGAAAGUUGUAGCCAUGGGUGUGCAACCAAUGUGGUUGCACGGGGCCGCACACUCAGAAGGGCCCCACGCUUGAAGGGUCCCGCACUUGGGGGUUAAUGCUCUGUGGCCACUGUCUUGAUAGUUUUACCUUUAAUCAUUUUGAGAAUUAUUCAAGAAGAUAGUUUUAAGAAUAAUUUCACCAUUCUUAAUAAGAU